rnacentral:lncRNA from 1 species
AUUGUUCUUUGAUGGGAUCCAGUGUAAUAUAAGGUAUAUGGACAAGUUCAUCCAACAAACCAGAGCCAGGGGUCUUACAAGACAUACCUGUACAAGAUAUAUAGGUAUGCUCUUAUGUGAUCUGAGCAAUCUGCAGGGAUGCCAUACAGCUAAUGCUGAAGAUCAGUGCAUCAGAUUAGCUGCUCCUGUGGAGGAACUCCACAAGCUAUGUUUCAUGGAUUUGGGCUCCCUACAUAUACGAGUUAGAAGAUUUCUACAUGUUUGUUAUGAAUCAGACCUAUAGGCUCUGAUUCAUGUGUAAGAUCUCUACAUGUAUCAAGAUCACCAAGAGCUCUACUGUAUCAGGUAAUAUUAGCCUAUACAAUAGAGAGAGGAAAAGGAAUAAGACAUACUUGACUGUAUAUUUUUCAGUAUAUAUUUACAUAUAUAUUAAACUCCAGUUAGAAGUAAAAACUCUUCCCAGACAACUGCUCCUUAGUGAAAUUAUAUAAACAAUUAUUUUCUUUCUGUAACCACAGCAAUGGAAAUGGAUCUUCUGAAAGGUUUUGAAAGCCCCUGCAUAUCUCAUGAUUGUAAGAUAUACUUACAUGAAUAUAUCCAUGAACACUGAAAUAUAGUACAUACUAUCAGUAUUUUCUCUGGAAGAACUGAAUGUGUUCUGAGACAGACCACUCCAAAUUUUUUCUUUUGUGAAAAGGAAUUGAGAUCUAAAAUACCCAUAUCAGCAUAAUAUUUCUCAAAGCAGAAGCAAACUGAAACAAAGUCACAUUUCUC